rnacentral:snoRNA from 1 species
AUCUAACUGAUAGGCCUGGAGCAGUUCCUGCUGCUAAGGUUUCCACUACAGGGGAAAGAAAAGGUAUCCUUGUGCUUUCUAUGUGUCUGAUUGUGGCAGCCAAGAUUGGAUGGGGAAACACGGAG